rnacentral:piRNA from 1 species
UUUCUCUUGAAACACUAUUUU